AUACGGAGGGUGCAAGCGUUAAUCGGAAUUACUGGGCGUAAAGCGUGCGUAGGUGGUUUGUUAAGUCAGAUGUGAAAGCCCCGGGCUCAACCUGGGAACUGCAUUUGAAACUGGCAUACUAGAGUAUAGGAGAGGAAAGUGGAAUUUCAGGUGUGGCGGUGAAAUGCGUAGAUAUCUGAAGGAACAUCAAUGGCGAAGGCAGCUUUCUGGACUAAUACUGACACUGAGGUACGAAAGCGUGGGUAGCAAACAGGAUUAGAAACCCUAGUAGUCC
rnacentral:rRNA from 1 species